UCUCUCCCUUUCCCUAAGACAAGAAAUAGUUUUGUUACUCAAAGUAUGGUCCAUGAACCAGGAGCUAGAAAGACUGUAGACUCUCAGAUUCCACCCCAGAUCUACUGAAGCAGCAUUUGCACUUUGACAUGAUUCCCAGGAUAUUUGCACUGAAGUCUUAUUUUCUCACAUCCUUACACUCUUGAAAUUACCCCAAAGUGUUGGCCUCCUGACUGAGGUUGGGGCUCACUACAAGUGUGGCUACUGGGAAAUUCUAAAUGACAUAGACUUGUGUCUCCUGUCAUCAUAUGUCUGUGGACUAGCCCUGCUCUAAGGCCCAAGUCUGGCGUGGAUCUCAGCUCUGGUCUGUAAGUCUUCCUUUAGCUCCUGCACUGGCUGAGGCCUUAUGAAUUAAAGAAUACUCUAAUUGAUUUUUUUUCAUAUUACAAAGUAAAACACUUCCAUUAUAAAACAUUAUAAAAUGCAGAUUAUAAAAUGUUAACAAAGAUGAC